rnacentral:rRNA from 1 species
AGAGCUAAUACAUGCUGAAAACCCCGACUUCGGGAGGGGUGUGUUUAUUAGAUAAAAAACCAACGCCCUUUCGGGGCUCCUUGGUGAUUCAUGAUAACUUAACGGAUCGCAUGGCCUUGCGCCGGCGACGGGUUCAUUCAAAUUUCUGCCCUAUCAACUUUCGAUGGUAAGGUAUUGGCUUACCAUGGUUUCAACGGGUAACGGGAAAUCAUUGGGUUUGAUUCCGGAGAGGGAGCCUGAGAAACGGCUACCACAUCCAAGGAAGGCAGCAGGCGCGCAAAUUACCCAAUCCCAAAUUCGGGGAGGUAGCGACAAUAAAUACUGAUACAGGGCUCUUUCGGGUCUUGUAAUCGGAAUGAGUACAAUUUAAACCCCUUAACGAGGAACAAUUGGAGGGCAAGUCUGGUGCCAGCAGCCGCGGUAAUUCCAGCUCCAAUAGCGUAUAUUAAAGUUGUUGCAGUUAAAAAGCUCGUAGUUGAACCUUGGGCCUGGCUGGCCGGUCGCGCCUCACCGCGUGUACUGGUCCGGCCGGGCCUUUCCUUCUGGGGAGCCGCAUGCCCUUCACUGGGCGUGUUGGGGAUCCAGGACUUUUACUUUGAGAAAAUUAGAGUGUUCAAAGCAGGCCUUUGCUCGAAUACAUUAGCAUGGAAUAAUGGAAUAGGACGUGCGGUCCUAUUUUGUUGGUUUCUAGGACCGCCGUAAUGAUUAAUAGGGAUAGUCGGGGGCAUCAGUAUUCAAUUGUCAGAGGUGAAAUUCUUGGAUUUA